CGUUCGAUUCGCCGCCGGCGCCCGGGCCCCGCCUCGCCGGCGCCAUGGCUCCGCCUCCGCCCUCCCCCUCCAUGGCGCCGCCCGGGCCCAUUCAUUCCGCGCCCGGCCUGCCGGACACCUGCGCCCUCCUUCAGCCGCCUGCCGCCGCCGCAGCCGCCAGCAUGUCGGGCCCCGCCGCCGAGACCCCGUCCGCCAUCCAGAUCUGCCGGAUCAUGCGGCCAGACGAUGCCAACGUGGCCGGCAACGUCCAUGGGGGAACCAUCCUGAAGAUGAUCGAGGAGGCGGGGGCCAUCAUCAGCACCCGGCACUGUAACAGUCAGAAUGGGGAGCGCUGCGUGGCUGCCCUGGCCCGGGUCGAGCGCACUGACUUCCUGUCACCCAUGUGCAUUGGCGAGGUGGCCCACGUCAGCGCGGGGAUCACCUACACCUCCAAGCACUCCGUGGAAGUACAGGUCAACGUGAUGUCCGAAAACAUCCUCACAGGUACCAAGAAGCUGACCAAUAAGGCCACGCUGUGGUAUGUGCCCCUGUCGCUGAAGAACGUGGACAAGGUCCUGGAGGUGCCUCCAGUCGUGUAUUCCCGGCAGGAGCAAGAGGAGGAAGGCCGAAAGCGGUAUGAGGCCCAGAAACUGGAGCGCAUGGAGACCAAGUGGAGGAAUGGCGACAUCGUCCAGCCCGUGCUGAACCCAGAGCCGAACACGGUCAGCUACAGCCAGUCCAGCUUGAUCCACCUGGUGGGGCCUUCGGACUGCACGCUGCAUGGCUUUGUGCAUGGAGGUGUCACCAUGAAGCUCAUGGAUGAGGUGGCUGGGAUCGUAGCUGCUCGUCACUGCAAGACCAACAUAGUCACGGCUUCCGUGGACGCCAUUAACUUUCAUGACAAGAUCAGAAAAGAAUUGGCCGUAUCCGACAUGAAGGAGUCCCUGGUGUGUCAUCACCAUCUCUGGGCGCAUGACCUUCACAAGCAACAAGUCCAUGGAAAUCGAGGUCCUGGUGGAUGCUGACCCUGUGGUGGACAACUCGCAGAAGCGCUACCGGGCUGCCAGCGCCUUCUUCACCUACGUGUCCCUGAGCCAGGAGGGCAAGCCACUGCCCGUGCCCCAGCUCGUGCCUGGGUGUGGGAAGCCUCUUCAGUCUCCAGGAACGUGAGAACCGAGUCGUGUCUGUUGAAGCCAGAGCGAGCGCCGUCCCUGGUGCAACACCUGCCCCUUCUCUGCUUCAGACGUGGUGCUGCAGCCCCUGAGGGCCCCAGGGAAACCCCGGGUGUCAUUGGAGCCCGUGUGAGAACGGAGGUGUUAGCAUCCUGGACUUGCAUGAGGAGGAAGUGUGUAGACGCCAGGCAGAGUAGGGGAGGGGUCACCCCCACCCUGGACACGGGGGCUGCCUGGAACACAUCCCAAGCACAUAGUCGAUGCGGGUUUUGAGAGUGCUAAUACAGCUGCUUCUGUGGAUUGUUUGGAAAAUGAAUGUUUUCUCUGAUGGGCUGAGGCCCAACUGCACAGCCACAUCGUUUGGGGACAGUGGGGCAGUCACUGCUCCCAGAAGACCCAAACUGAAGAGCAAGCCUGCCCCAUCGUGGAGGGUCUUGGCUGGUCCUUGGGGAACCUAGUGCAGGACCCUGAGCCCCUUGGCCAUGGCUGGCCCCUUCCCAUCUCUGAGCCUCAGUUUCCCCACUGGAGCCAUCACAGGCCAGGCAGUUGCUCUCUGAGGCUCCUCUCCGUGCUGUCUCAGUGAUGAUCUAACCAGAAGGCUCCUCACUCCUUUGCCCUGAAGAGGAAGCACAGAGACAAGGCUUUCAGCAGUGGUCAGCUCCCUGCUCCCCAGGACCCGAGCCUGACCCUAAGCACAGGGCGUGGAGGGAGGACCCGAGGCCCCAUUCCUCACGAUGAAGCAUCAGCAGCCAGACCUCCUCUACACAUCCCAAAAGGCAAGAGGAAUGCACAUCCCGCCCCCAGGAUGUUGGAAAGGGGUCCACACAUCAGGCAUGUCAUGGGCUGGGGACCCCAGGUGGCUUCCCGGCUUAGGGAGAUGCCUCAGGUGUCCUGGACACUUGAGUGCCACAGGCUCCUCCAAUGAGAGGGCCACGCCUCAUCCUAGGGAAUCUUGUGACCAAGAGAACAUUAAGAGCACUUUGUGGCCCUUUUGCUUAGCCUCUGGGAUCGUGUCCCAGGACAUGACGCUGCCACACCAGUUGCUUUAUGGUCACAGCACUUUGUGUCUGCUUCCUGCAUUGGUUUAGCCGAAGGUAAACUUUUGGAGUGAUUUUUAAUUGCUGCCUAAUUAAGAAAUUCAGAUGUACUGGAGUGUAACAGGAUUGAGGUGUCUCUUCCUGGAAGAGUUUGGGAAGCCACAUUAGCGAGGGAAGCUGUGCCCCCCACUGUUCCUCUUUGCUGCCAGCCCACAGAGGUGAGUCGGGAACCAGAAUAUUCCUGAAGCUUCUUUUUUUUUUUUUUUUUUU